rnacentral:lncRNA from 1 species
UUUGAUUACUAUCUUCAUUUCUACUCAAUAUAAGAUUAAUCUAUCCUCUUUUGUUUUACUUUAUAAGAUUAGGGCCUCUCUUGACCCAUCUAGUCUCUUUACGAGCUAAUCAUUACCCAAAUUUUGGAAGCUUGUGAUGUGUCCCUCAGUAUUAUUCCUUCAAUCUCUGUUAAACAAUGGUAUAAUGUUACAGCUGUUGCUAGUAUGGGUUACAUUUUAGUUGAUGGUGUGUGGGUUCGCAAGUUUGAAUAUUGUUCUGUUGGACUCCUUCCUCCCUCAAAUUGAAUUCCUCUCCUCAUCCUCAUCCUCAUCCUUCUGGCACUUCCUCUAUUGAUGUUGAGCUGCGAUUGUUGGAAAUUGAUUCUAAACUUGAAUACCUGGAGGAUCUUUCGCUAGCUACUCACUUUCAGAUGGAUAAAAUAAAGGAUGCAAGAAAAUAAACUAGAAGAGAUAUUGGUCGCCUUCGUGUCAAGUUAGAUCAGGUCAUCAAGAAAGCAACAAAACUUGUAGCUAAGAUUCAGGCCAUCAUAGAUACUAUUUCUACCACUACUACCACUCAGUUCAUGAACUUGAAAGACGAUAUUGCUCAUACCCUAGCUUACUUUUUCCAACAACAUCAUCCUAUUGCUAACUAAUCUCUUUAUGGAUAAUUUUUUGUUUUUUUAAAUGGGCAUAUGCCCAUGAAUACUUUUAUUUUGGCUUCGUCGUAGUGGUUCCUUGGUUUUUAUCUUGUCUGUAUUUCUUCCUUUUUGAUAUAUGUCAAAAGGGUAGAAUAGUGUGGAAUUCUAACUUUCCAGGGCAAGCUCACUAAGGACUCACUCAUUCAUGGAGAGCUAAUGCCAAUGCCUCAGGAAAAGUCUAACAGGGAAGUUAUCUAAUUAUCUAAUUUUUGUCAACUAACGAAAAAGGUGAGAUUGAUAGUGUUAAGUUUUGAUGAAUGAUUUUAUGAUUAAUUACAUUCAGAAAUUAAGGAAAAAGAAUAUUCAGAAGAGUCCUUGUUAUUGCUCA